rnacentral:rRNA from 1 species
AGAGUUUGAUCCUGGCUCAGAACGAACGCUGGCGGCAGGCUUAACACAUGCAAGUCGAACGCGUGUAGCAAUACACGAGUGGCGCACGGGUGAGUAACGCGUGGAUAUCUGCCUUUUGGUUCGGAAUAACCCCGGGAAACUGGGGCUAAUACCGGAUGGUUCCUACGGGAUAAAGAUUUAUCGCCAAAAGAUGAGUCCGCGUCCGAUUAGCUAGUUGGUGAGGUAACGGCUCACCAAGGCGACGAUCGGUAGCUGGUCUGAGAGGACGAUCAGCCACACUGGGACUGAGACACGGCCCAGACUCCUACGGGAGGCAGCAGUGGGGAAUAUUGGACAAUGGGGGCAACCCUGAUCCAGCCAUGCCGCGUGAGUGAUGAAGGCCUUCGGGUUGUAAAGCUCUUUUGGCGGGGACGAUGAUGACGGUACCCGCAGAAUAAGCCCCGGCUAACUUCGUGCCAGCAGCCGCGGUAAGACGAAGGGGGCUAGCGUUGUUCGGAAUUACUGGGCGUAAAGCGCGUGUAGGCGGUUGUCCAAGUUGGAUGUGAAAGCCUUGAGCUUAACUCAAGAAAUGCAUUCAGGACUGGAUGACUAGAGGACCGGAGAGGAUAGUGGAAUUCCCAGUGUAGUGGUGAAAUACGUAGAGAUUGGGAAGAACACCAGUGGCGAAGGCGGCUAUCUGGACGGUUUCUGACGCUAAGACGCGAAAGCGUGGGGAGCAAACAGGAUUAGAUACCCUAGUAGUCC